rnacentral:tRNA from 1 species
GCCGAAGUGGUGGAACCUGGUAGACACGCUAUCUUGAGGGGGUAGUGGUUCAUGACCGUGCCGGUUCAAGUCCGGCCUUCGGCACCA